CGGACGGGUGAGUAACGCGUGAGAAUCUGCCCUCAGGAGGGGGAUAACAGUUGGAAACGACUGCUAAUACCCCAUAUGCCGAAAGGUGAAACGAAUUUCGCCUGGGGAUGAGCUCGCGUCUGAUUAGCUUGUUGGUGGGGUAAAGGCCUACCAAGGCUUCGAUCAGUAGCUGGUCUGAGAGGACGAUCAGCCACACUGGGACUGAGACACGGCCCAGACUCCUACGGGAGGCAGCAGUGGGGAAUUUUCCGCAAUGGGCGAAAGCCUGACGGAGCAACGCCGCGUGAGGGAUGAAGGCCUUUGGGCUGUAAACCUCUUUUCUCAAGGAAGAAGAUCUGACGGUACUUGAGGAAUAAGCCACGGCUAAUUCCGUGCCAGCAGCCGCGGUAAUACGGGAGUGGCAAGCGUUAUCCGGAAUUAUUGGGCGUAAAGCGUCCGCAGGCGGCCGUCUAAGUCUGUUGUUAAAUCGUGGAGCUUAACUCCAUCACGGCAAUGGAAACUGUUCGGCUUGAGUGUGGUAGGGGCAGAGGGAAUUUCCGGUGUAGCGGUGAAAUGCGUAGAUAUCGGGAAGAACACCAGUGGCGAAAGCGCUCUGCUAGGCCAUUACUGACGCUCAUGGACGGAAGCCAGGGGAGCGAAUGGGAUUAGAUACCCCAGUAGUC
rnacentral:rRNA from 1 species